rnacentral:snoRNA from 1 species
AACUGUAUUAUUAUGAUGACUGCAUAGUUCAUAUGAUCUUACUAUGAUAUUUAUAAUGUUUCUAUGUUGAAAUUGGUCUUUCACCCCUAUCUGAAUACAACA